rnacentral:misc_RNA from 1 species
UCACACCUUACGGUGGCAGUCUCACUAGAGUCCUCAGCUUAACCUGUUAGUAACUAAUGAUAGGGGUUGCGCUCGUUAUGGCACUUAAGCCGACACCUCACGGCACGAGCUGACGACAACCAUGCAGCACCUACACAGACGCCAUUGCUGGAAAAUCAGUUUCCUGAUCGGUCGUCUGCAUUUCAAGCCCGGGUAAGGUUCCUCGCGUAUCAUCGAAUUAAACCACAUGUUCCUCCGCUUGUGCGGGCCCCCGUCAAUUCCUUUGAGUUUCAUUCUUGCGAACGUACUCCCCAGGUGGAAUACUUAACGCGUUAGCUGCGGCUCUGGACCGUUGACGGGCCCAAAACCUAGUAUUCAUCGUUUAUGGCAUGGACUAC